AUUGAACGCUGGCGGCAGGCCUAACACAUGCAAGUCGAGCGGAUGAAGGGAGCUUGCUCCUGGCUUCAGCGGCGGACGGGUGAGUAAUGCCUAGGAAUCUGCCUGGUAGUGGGGGAUAACGUCCGGAAACGGGCGCUAAUACCGCAUACGUCCUGAGGGAGAAAGUGGGGGAUCUUCGGACCUCACGCUAUCAGCUGAGCCUAGGUCGGAUUAGCUAGUUGGUGGGGUAAAGGCCUACCAAGGCGACGAUCCGUAACUGGUCUGAGAGGAUGAUCAGUCACACUGGAACUGAGACACGGUCCAGACUCCUACGGGAGGCAGCAGUGGGGAAUAUUGGACAAUGGGCGAAAGCCUGAUCCAGCCAUGCCGCGUGUGUGAAGAAGGUCUUCGGAUUGUAAAGCACUUUAAGUUGGGAGGAAGGGAAGUAAGUUAAUACCUUGCUGUUUUGACGGUACCAACAGAAUAAGCACCGGCUAACUUCGUG
rnacentral:rRNA from 1 species